UACGUAGGGUGCAAGCGUUGUCCGGAAUUAUUGGGCGUAAAGAGCUCGUAGGCGGUUUGUCGCGUCUGCUGUGAAAACUCGGGGCUUAACUCCGGGCCUGCAGUGGGUACGGGCAGACUAGAGUGCGGUAGGGGAGACUGGAAUUCCUGGUGUAGCGGUGAAAUGCGUAGAUAUCGGAAAGAACACCAGUGGCGAAGGCGGCUACCUGGACUCAUAUUGACACUGAGGCACGAAAGCGUGGGGAGCAAACAGG
rnacentral:rRNA from 1 species